UACUUUUUUCAUCUCAAUCUUAGCUAAACUUUACAUGGUAUCAGAGCAAGCUACUGCCCUGUGUAAACCACCUCAACAAACUCAGAUCUAGAUCUGAGAAAAUUUACUCUUACUUUCUCAAGCCACACAGCCUGUUCAACAAGCAUAAUGGCAGAAAUCACUGAGGGAAACACACCAGGAAAAGAAGAGAAAGACGACAAGAUGAUGAAGUUGCUGAACUCUGAUUCUCCCAGCAUGAUCCUCGUCAGCUCUCCAUUAAACGGCAACAACUACCUGACAUGGAGCAGAUCAAUGGUCAUUGCUUUGAAAGCAAAGGACAAACUAGGAUUCAUAAAUGGCAAAUGCAAGAUGCCAGAUCAAGAUGACAGAAACUAUGAGGAAUGGCAGAAAGCAGAUAAUAUGGUAAUGUCCUGGAUCUUGAAUGCUCUUUCAAAAGAAUUGGCUGAGACUUUUUUAUAUGCCACAAAUGCUUAUGAAUUAUGGGAAGAAUUAAAAGAAAGAUUUGGAGACAGUAAUGGCCCCCUGAUGUACCAAUUAAUGAAAGAAAUCAGCAAUGCCAGUCAAGCAAACAACAACAUUAUGAUGUAUUACACAAAAUUAAAAAAAUUAUGGGAUGAAUAUGCAUGUUUAGAGCCAAUUCCAGUAUGUGAAUGUGGUGUAGCAAAGUUAUUUGCUGAGAUAGAAGGCAAACACAAAUUAAUGCAAUUCUUGAUGGGCUUAAAUGAGUCUUAUGACCAUGUGAGAAAUCAAAUUCUCAUAAUGGAGCCACUGCCUAGUGUAAACAAAGCAUAUUCUAUGAUUUUGAGAAUUGAAAAACAGAGGGAGACACAAAAUGAUGAAGCUGGGAACAGUGCAAUGACAGCAAACACUUCAGGGAUCAACAAAGGCAAAACAUGGAAAAACCAAUUCAAAAAAAAGGAUGACAGAACCUGUUCUUACUGCAAAACUACAGGCCAUGUGAGGGAAACAUGCUUCAAGCUCAAUGGAUAUCCAGAUUGGUUCAAUGAACUCAAAUUGAAGAAAAACAAAGGAAAAGAAAAUGUUGCAGCUCAUGUGUUUGAAACACCUCUAGAAAGCAAUGAUGAUUACACUCAAGGCAAAGUUGAUUGGAACAUAGAGUCACUGAUGCAGGAGAUGAUCAAAUACAUGAAGAAUCAUGGCCAGAGCACAGCCGGCAGCAAUGAUGCAAAUUGUGUGAACUAUACUGGGUUUGCAGGUAUGACAUCUUCUUGCUACUCUAAGGUUUAUGAAAAUAGAACUAUAGGAGAAUGGAUUAUAGAUACAGGUGCCACAGCUCACAUGUGCAAUGACCUAUCUCUUUUUUCAAAACACAGAACUCUAAAUAAACCUAGUGUAGUGACCCUACCCGAUGGUAGUAUGAAAAAUAUCACCAAAAUUGGUACAGUGCCUUUAAACCAGAAUAUGCAAUUGCUAGAUGUACUAUAUAUGCCCACAUUUAAAUACAAUUUACUGUCUGUUAGCCAAAUCACCCAAACUAACAAAAUAUCUGUACAAUUCUACCAUAAUCAAUGCAUCUUGCAGGACCUAGUGACUAAACACCCAUUGGCUGUUGGGAGAAUGCACCAAGGAUUGUAUAGACUAAAUAAAGAAUCAUUUAGCCAUCAAGACAGCAGAAUAAAGACAAUUGGCACAGCAUUGGCAUCUCAACAACUUCAAAGCAACUACGAAGUAUGGCACAGAAGAUUAGGUCAUGCAUCAAAAAGCAAAUUGUUGCAUCUAAAUGUAAUAAAAGCCAAUGAAUGUGAUUCUCAUGUAUGCACCAUUUGCCCUAUUGCAAAACAACAAAGAUUGAGUUUUAAUAAGAGCAAGAUUACAUCUACAUCACAAUUUGAGCUAAUUCAUGUGGAUCUCUGGAGCCUAUAUUCAGUAGUUUCAGUAUCAAAUGCAAGAUAUGUAUUGACCAUAGUUGAUGAUUACACUAGAGCUACAUGGACAUAUUUACUACAGCAAAAACAAUCAGUAUCUGUUGUGUUAAAAGAAUUCAUAGCUAUGGUGAACAAUCAAUUUCAUAAGUCAGUCAAGAACUUAAGAUCAGACAAUGGGACAGAGUUUGUGAACCAAGAUUGUAGCAAGUGGCUGAAGGAAAAGGGCAUUAUUCAUCAGAAAUCAUGCCCAUACACCCCACAACAGAAUGGGGUAGUUGAAAGAAAGCACAAACACCUAUUACAAGUUGCAAGAGCUCUAAUGUUUCAGUCAAAACUACCAAAAAGAUUCUGGGGAGAAUCCAUACUCACUGCCACCUAUAUCAUCAACAGAUUACCAAGCCCUGUACUUAAUUGGGAAACACCUUAUGCUAGUUUGCACAAGGAAAACCCCAAUCUAAACUUUCUCAAAACCUUUGGAUGCCUAUGCUUUGCAACCAAUACUUUACCCCACACGACAAAAUUUGAAGAAAGAGCCUUUAAAGGAGUAUUCCUUGGAUAUGUUCCAGGAAUGAAGGCCUACAAAAUAUAUGCCCUAGACCUAAACAAAAUCAUUGUUUCCAGAGAUGUGAUCUUCCAUGAAGACAUAUUCCCAUUCAGAUCACAACCUGACACCCAUGACCCACAUAAAACAGUAUUACCAAAUACAAUAUCCGAACCUGACUCAAGUCCAACCAUGCCAAUGUCACCUCAUACAGAUAUUAACCCCCCCCCAUGAAUCUUUAAGAAUAACAGAAGAGACUGAACAGUACACUGAGGAUUCUGCAACUGAAGACAGAAGAGAAACAUCUACUGAAGAUGAAGGAGAAAUUCCUGACAAUCUUGAACCAGCCCCAGAAAUUUCAGAAGAAGGAGCUUCUACACACACAAGGAGAAGCACAAGGCUACCUACAAGACCAAGAUGGCUAAAUGACUUUGUGGCAACCUCUAUAUGUCCUAUCAAUCCUGGUGCAUUCCCCAACAACACCACAGGUAAUUCUCCCUAUAACUACCCCUGUUUUACCUCUGAACCUAUUUUUACCCCCCAUUAUUUGAGUUUUGUGGCAAAUGUGUCUAUAAACUGUGAACCUAAGUCCUAUUCACAAGCCAAGGAGGAUAGCAAUUGGGUGCAAGCCAUGCAAGAUGAACUAACAGCCUUAGAUACCAAUAAUACUUGGUAUUUAACAACUCUGCCCAAAGGAAAAAGAGCCAUUGCUUCCAAAUGGGUUUUCAGAAUAAAAUACAAGCCAGACGGCUCAGUUGACAGAUUCAAAGCCAGGCUAGUGGCCAAGGGAUUUAAUCAAUUACUUGGAAUUGAUUAUACUGACAAUUUUUCUCCAGUAGCCAAAUUGGUUACUGUAAGAAUGUUCAUGGCAAUUGCUACUGCUAAGAACUGGCCUAUACAUCAACUUGACGUAAAUAAUGCAUACCUACAUGGUCAUAUAGAAGAAGAUUUAUACAUGAUCCCCCCGGAAGGCUAUGACAAAACUCAGCCAGGACAAGUGUGCAAACUCAUAAAAAGCAUUUACGGGCUAAAACAAGCAGGAAGAAUGUGGAAUAAGGAGCUUACCCAGUGCUUAAACCAAUUUGGUUUCAAACAAUCACCCUUUGAUCACUGCCUGUUCACAAGAACAAAGGAAGGCAGAUUUUUAACAUUGUUAGUUUACGUUGAUGAUAUUCUUAUAGCAGGUCAAUCAGAAAAAGAUAUAACAGAAAUGAAAUCUCACCUUGAUAAAGCUUUCACAAUCAAAGAUCUGGGACAUGUUAAAUACUUUCUGGGAUUACAGAUCGCACGUUCUGAGACUGGAUUAUUUCUUCACCAAAAGAAAUAUCUAUUAGACAUUAUACAAGACACAGGUUGUAUGCAAGCCAAAUUUUCUGACAACCCACUACCACAAGGACUCAAACUUGACAACACAACAGGACCUCUUUUGACUGAACCGGAUAAAUACAGGAGGUUAAUAGGAAGGUUACUCUACCUCGGAGUUACCAGGCCAGACAUCUCCUACGCGACGCAGCACCUCAGCCAGUUCAUGCAACAGUCGCGUCAACCGCACUGGAACGCCGCACUUCACGUGCUUCGCUAUCUGAAGAGUUGUCCAACAAGAGGGUUAUUUUUCCCAGCUCAGAACGAUCUCAAGCUCCGAGCUUUCUCCGAUGCUGACUGGGCUUCUUGUCCGAUGACCCGGAAAUCUCUCACCGGGUUCUGCAUAUUCCUCGGACCAUCCUUAAUAUCCUG
rnacentral:lncRNA from 1 species